rnacentral:rRNA from 1 species
GCAUAUCAAUAAGCGGAGGAAAAGAAACCAACAGGGAUUGCCUUAGUAACGGCGAGUGAAGCGGCAACAGCUCAAAUUUGAAAGCUGGCCCUUUUAGGGUCCGCGUUGUAAUUUGUAGAGGAUGAUUCGGCGAGGGCUCCUGCCUAAGUCCCCUGGAACGGGGCGUCAUAGAGGGUGAGAAUCCCGUAUGCGGUAGGUUGCCUUAGCCAUGUGAAUCUCCUUCGACGAGUCGAGUUGUUUGGGAAUGCAGCUCUAAAUGGGAGGUAAAUUUCUUCUAAAGCUAAAUACUGGCCAGAGACCGAUAGCGCACAAGUAGAGUGAUCGAAAGAUGAAAAGCACUUUGGAAAGAGAGUUAAAAAGUACGUGAAAUUGUUGAAAGGGAAGCGCUUGCAACCAGACUUGUCCGCAGUUGCUCAGCCGGUCUCCUGACCGGCGUACUCUUCUGCGGCCAGGCCAGCAUCAGUUCGGGCGGUCGGAUAAAGGCCUCGGGAAUGUAGCUCCUCUCGGGGAGUGUUAUAGCCCGGGGUGGAAUGCGACCAGCCUGGACUGAGGAUCUCGCUUCGGCAAGGAUGCUGGCGUAAUGGUUGUAAGCGGCCCGUCUUGAAACACGGACC